rnacentral:misc_RNA from 1 species
UGUGGGAGCGAGCUUGCUCGCGAUAGCGGUCUGUCAGACACAUUGAUGUGGACUGAUCCGACGCAAUCGCGAGCAAGCUCGCUCCCACA